AAUGAGCUGAACCUGUACACGCAGAUGAUAGUCACUGAUGGAUCUGUAGUAGGUAAAAGAUUGCAAAAGAUUGUUGAACUAAAGACAGAUGCGAUCAGACAUGCCUCAAAAGAUGUCUUUUAUGAAUCAGGUAUAUGAAGACUAGUGUGAAAUACAGUGUUUGAUCAGAGUUCCAAUAUGACCAUGCUCUUGAAAGGGAGGCACUGAAUACAGAGCACAUUUAUCAAGGCAAAAGUGCUUAACUAUGACCUUAAGCACAUGCUGCUGCUUGUUAGUUUAACUGAAGCUGCACAAACAUGAUAAAAGGUCUCGGCAUUGAGUUUGCUGUGUUGGAGAGAAUUCUUCUCAUGCU
rnacentral:lncRNA from 1 species